UUACUUUAAUUCUUAGCACGAAUUCUUCCAAACAAAAUUAAAAUAUAUCCCAUAAAUACUUCCAACCAAUCAUAAAUUCAUAAUAGCUUAAACAUCCAAAAUUAACUUAAAAGAAUUCCAACAAAUAAAGAUUUAUCAAAACUAGAGCCGAAAUUUAUAAAAAUAAAUAGGGUAAAUUACAAUUGCCCCCUGAGUUAAGGUUUAUUUACAAAAAAUCCCUUUAUUUUUCCAUAAUUACAUCCACCCUUGCAAUUUGUAAAUUUCUUACAUUAACACCCUUUUGUAGGGGGUGGAUGUAAGAAAUUUACAAACAGCAAGGACUGGAUGUAUAUACAAAAUAAGGGGUUGUUUUGUAAUUAAACUUUAUAUCAGGGAGGUAGUUGCAAUUUACCGAAUAAGAAGAUAUUGUAGAUAAAUAAUUAAUCAGCAAUGGUGGUGAUGGUGGUGGUGGUGGUCCAAUCCAAAGCAGUGCAAAACAGGAUAACAAGCAGCAGAAAUGCAGCGCCCAAUCAUUCCAAAAAUAGAAGCGAUUAAUAAACAAGGGCAGCAUAAACACGCCGCCACCGGAUUAUCGUACCGACUAUCGCAGUCGUGGUGGUGGUGGUGGCGGCCCAUUUUAUUACACCUAAAAUAUCAAACACACACAAAAAAAAAAAAAAAAAUCAGAAUGAAUUUUUAAUUACGAUUAUUGUAAAUAAUACAUGCGCACUAUUAAAUAAUCUCGAUAAAUAAAAUUACCUUUUUAUGAAGUAAGGAACUUGUCCUGUUGAAUAUUUGGAGAUCUGAACUAGAAGAAAAAAACAGGGGAUCUCUGUGUGUGUGUGCGCGUGUGUGUG
rnacentral:lncRNA from 1 species